rnacentral:rRNA from 1 species
UACGGAGGAUGCAAGCGUUAUCCGGAAUGAUUGGGCGUAAAGCGUCCGCAGGUGGCAAUGUAAGUCUGCUGUCAAAGCGUCUGGCUCAACCAGAUAAAGGCAGUGGAAACUACAUAGCUAGAGUAAGGUAGGGGUAGAGGGAAUUCCUGGUGUAGCGGUGAAAUGCGUAGAGAUCAGGAAGAACACCGGCGGCGAAAGCGCUCUGCUGGACCUUAACUGACACUGAGGGACGAAAGCUAGGGGAGCGAAUGGG